rnacentral:rRNA from 1 species
AGAGUUUGAUCAUGGCUCAGAUUGAACGCUGGCGGCAAGCCUCAUACAUGCAAGUCGAGCGAGAACGUUACUUCGGUAGCUAGUAAAGCGGCGGACGGGUGAGUAACGCGUAGGAAUCUACCUUUCAGCGGGGGAUAGCUCGGGGAAACCCGAAUUAAUACCGCAUACACCCUAAGGGGGAAAGAGGGCCUAUCCUUGGAAGCUCUCGCUGUUAGAUGAGCCUGCGUGAGAUUAGUUUGUUGGUGGGGUAAUGGCCUACCAAGACUACGAUCUCUAGCUGGUCUGAGAGGACGAUCAGCCACACUGGGACUGAGACACGGCCCAGACUCCUACGGGAGGCAGCAGUAGGGAAUAUUGGACAAUGGGGGCAACCCUGAUCCAGCUAUGCCGCGUGUGUGAAGAAGGCUCUAGGGUUGUAAAGCACUUUAGGUAAGGACGAAAAGAAUAUAGUUAAUACCUAUAUUCCGUGACUUAACUUACAGAAUAAGGACCGGCUAACUCCGUGCCAGCAGCCGCGGUAAUACGGAGGGUCCAAGCGUUAAUCGGAAUUACUGGGCGUAAAGCGCGCGUAGGCGGUUUGUCAAGUUGGAUGUGAAAUCCCUGGGCUCAACCUAGGAACUGCAUUCAAAACUUAUAGACUAGAGUACGAUAGAGGAGAGUAGAAUUCCUGGUGUAGCGGUGAAAUGCGUAGAUAUCAGGAGGAAUACCAAUGGCGAAGGCAACUCUCUGGAUCGACACUGACGCUGAGGUGCGAAAGCGUGGGUAGCAAACAGGAUUAGAUACCCUGGUAGUCCACGCCGUAAACGAUGUCAACUAGCCGUUGGGGAUCUUAGUAUCUUUAGUGGCGCAGCUAACGCGAUAAGUUGACCGCCUGGGGAGUACGGUCGCAAGAUUAAAACUCAAAUGAAUUGACGGGGGCCCGCACAAGCGGUGGAGCAUGUGGUUUAAUUCGAUGCAACGCGA